UUUAUUGGAGAGUUUGAUCCUGGCUCAGGAUGAACGCUGGCGGCGUGCCUAAUACAUGCAAGUCGAGCGAAUGGAUUGAGAGCUUGCUCUCAAGAAGUUAGCGGCGGACGGGUGAGUAACACGUGGGUAACCUGCCCAUAAGACUGGGAUAACUCCGGGAAACCGGGGCUAAUACCGGAUAACAUUUUGAACUGCAUGGUUCGAAAUUGAAAGGCGGCUUCGGCUGUCACUUAUGGAUGGACCCGCGUCGCAUUAGCUAGUUGGUGAGGUAACGGCU
rnacentral:rRNA from 1 species